AAAGUACUCCCUCCGUUCGGAAUUACUUGUCACAGAAAUGGAUGUAUCUAGAUGUAUUUUAGUUCUAGAUACAUCCAUUUUCAAGACAAGUAAUUCCGAAUAAAGGAAGUAGGUG
rfam:Triticum aestivum genome assembly, contig: Triticum_aestivum_CS42_TGACv1_scaffold_157935_2DL